rnacentral:rRNA from 1 species
UACGUAGGGGGGCAAGCGUUUGUCCGGAAUCAUUGGGCGUAAAGCGCGCGUAGGCGGCCCGAUAAGUCUGCUGUGAAAGUCCAGGGCUCAACCCUGGAAUGCCGGUGGAUACUGUCGGGCUAGAGUUCGGAAGAGGCAAGUGGAAUUCCUGGUGUAGCGGUGGAAUGCGCAGAUAUCAGGAGGAACACCUAUAGCGAAGGCAGCUUGCUGGGACGACACUGACGCUGAGGCGCGAAAGCGUGGGGAGCGAACAGG